GGCUCCCCACCAGCUCACAGCGUCCGGCCAGCGCUGAGAGUGCCUUUGGGUUUCCGGGUCGGCGGAUCGGGGCCUGAGUGAAGCAAGAUUUGAUGAUUCCUUGAAGAUCCUGAUUUGCAGCUGUGACAGAAUACCCUCUGGGAACCUGCCAGCCCUCCUGUCAGCACAGCCGCACAGCGAUGUAACUGAUAAGGUUGGAAUUAAGGGCACUGGGCCGUGCAACCACCAACGGAUCGAGCUUCUUGUGGAGAAG